CAAAAAAAAAAAAAAAAGUUCAAAUUCAAUACCAGAAAAUGUGUAUGUAUUGUACUGUGCCUCUAAUACAUAGUGUUUACUACCUUUGUAUUUCAAUAUUCAAAAAUCUCUAGACAUUGGAUUAGCAUUUUGAGUUGAUAAAUAAAUGGUGCUGCCAGUUUCUGGAUUGCGUAGUGGAAUCUUUUAAAGUGAGAAUGAUUAUCUAGAUGAUGAACUAUAAGUCUUUUACUUGUGUCUUAUGCAUUUGGACAGUUCGGGAUUUGAUUUAAUUUCCUUUUUAGAAUAAGUAUGCGUGUGCUCUAGUUGUAUAUAAUGAAAACAAUCUGCUCGUUUUCUUUUAUGAAUUCAACACAUUUUAUGGCCUUUAAGUUUUCACUUUUAAUAUUGAACAUCAUCAAUAUUUACUGUUUAUUUUACACCAUCAAAUAGAUGUGCCAUGCAUUUCCAGAAUUAUGGAAUAUAGAGAAAAGGUAUGUUUGCACACAACUUUUUCCUUUGUGUUACACAGCUAGAUAAGUAUCCAUCUUAUGGUUAUCUGAAAUCCCUGCUCAUUAGGUUUGGCUCAGUCAUAUUUGGGGCAAUUCAAUCUAAGAUACAGCUAAGAAGAGGAACCAAGGGCAAGUUGGUGCUUCGGAUAUGCACGGUUCCACUUCCUAUUACAAUAAUUGUAAUUCUUUUUAUAAUUAGUGAGCGAAUUAGAUAUCAAUCAUAUCAUCAAGGAAAAAACUGAAAAAAAAGAGAAAUUUGCCCUUACUGGUAGCACUUGGAGAAGUAAUGCUUUUUAGUUUUGAUUUUGAUAUCUGCAAUUGUGUCUUAGUCUUGCUUUUGUUCUCUAACCCCAUGUUUUGCAGACACUUACAAAUGCAUUGUUGCCAGUUUCAUUUGCAUGAUUGAUAAUGGCAUCGGUCAGUUUUGAUCUGUGGUGUUUUUUUUUAUGACAGUCUGAUUAGAUAAUCUUUGAUUCUCUAAGGACGCUUCAAUUGAUGGAUUUGUCUGUGGAGACACUCAAGGUCUGAUCUUUUGCCUUUUAUUUUACUGGAAAGUCUACCUUGAUAAUGAUAUGUGUUUCUUUAUUCGCAGUGACUUAAUUAAAUGACUCUUGUUUCUUGCAAAAUGAUCAAAUAUGUUAUCAGUCACACUGCAUUUGAUCAUUAGGCAAUUAUAUCUAUUCAUUCCCCGAUUAGUUCCAUUUGUGUUGAUCAUUAGGCAAACAAUAUGGCUCUUAUGGCUCUCAAUUAUCUUGUUCUCUUCUGCACUAUCUUCCAGAUCAUUCUAUAUGUGGAAUUAUAUGCAAGUAUAUAUGCCUUAACUAUGCAAGUUUUUCUCUGUAUGUUUCUAGUUAGUUCAUGAGACAAACCUUAAGUUUUUGAUUAAAUUAGUGUUAAUAGUGUUA